rnacentral:rRNA from 1 species
CCUACGGGAGGCAGCAGUGGGGGAUAUUGCACAAUGGGGGGAACCCUGAUGCAGCGACGCCGCGUGGGUGAAGGAGUAUUUCGGUAUGUAAAGCUCUAUCGGCAGGGAAGAAUAUAGACGGUACCUGACUAAGAAGCCUCGGCUAACUACGUGCCAGCAGCCGCGGUAAUACGUAGGAGGCGAGCGGUAUCCGGAAUGACUGGGCGUAAAGGGUGCGUAGGUGGUUUGGCAAGUUAGUAGCGUAACUCCAAGGCUCAACCUUGGAACUACUACUAAAACCGUUGGACUUGAGUGCAGGAGGGGCAACCGGAAUUCCUGGUGUAGCGGUGGAAUGCGUAGAUAUUAGGAGGAACACCAGUGGCGAAGGCGGGUAGCUGGACUGAAACUGACGCUGAGGCACGAAAGCGUGGGGAGCAAACAGGAUUAGAUACCCGUGUAGUC